AGGCUCCCGACUCCCACGUUGGAGAGAUGGGCUCCACAAGGGAUGGGAGACCCAAGCUUUGGCACUUGAAGCGAGGACCCGGUGGCUUCCUGCAUCAGAUAACACAGUGAUGCCAGUUACACAGCGCUGGGAACCAGGCACGGCCCUCACCCCGCCCUCCAGGCAGCUUCUGUCCUCACAGUCAUCUCACAGAGAGGGGCGCCGCAGCAUCAGGGAAGAUGCGUCACAGAAAAGAGGCCGGGCGGCUGCAUGGAUCCCCUUGACAUACCAGAACGCAAGCCCCCAGCAUGGGCCCUCAACCGGGCCUGUCCAGGAGCAGAUG